rnacentral:lncRNA from 1 species
CUGUAGAUGUUAAUCAUGUUGCUCAUGUAGGAUUAGGAAAGAAAGCCAAACCGAGUCCUAGUAGUAUUAGGAUUCCUAGUCCUAGUCUAUUUCCAUAGUCCCUUGUGGACGUGUAUAAAAGACACCCUAGGGGUGUUGAUUGUAAUACCAGAAAAACGAAAAGCAAUACAAAGCAAAGGCUCGACACGGGCCUUUAGCCAUCAAAUCCAUCGAUCAGUUUUAUUCGUGUCGCUAGUUACGCAAGUUCCGUCAAGUAGCCGGCCGAAGCAAGAAUCGCGUAGGCACGCCUGUACAGCUGCAUACGCACGUUCAAAAGCCAACAG